AUUGAACGCUGGCGGCAGGCUUAACACAUGCAAGUCGAGCGGAUGAAGGCUGCUUGCUCCUGGAUUCAGCGGCGCACGGGUGAGUAAUGCCUAGGAAUCUGCCUGGUAGUGGGUGAUAACGUCCGGAAACGGGUGCUAAUACCGCAUACGUCCUGAGGGAGAAAGUGGGGGAUCUUCGGACCUCACGCUAUCAGAUGAGCCUAGGUCGGAUUAGCUAGUUGGUGGGGUAAAGGCCUACCAAGGCGACGAUCCGUAACUGGUCUGAGAGGAUGAUCAGUCACACUGGAACUGAGACACGGUCCAGACUCCUGCGGGAGGCAGCAGUGGGGAAUAUUGGGCAGUGGGCGGAAGCCUGAUCCAGUCAUGCCGAGUGUGUUGCGGAGGUCUUCGGAUUGUAAAGCACUUUAAGUUGGGAGGAAGGGCAGUAAGUUAAUACCUUGCUGUUUUGACGUUACCAGCAGAAUAAGCACCGGCUAACUUCGUG
rnacentral:rRNA from 1 species